GAGUUUGAUCGUGGCUCAAAUUGAACGCUGGCGGCAUGCCUUACACAUGCAAGUCGAACGGUAACAGGUCUUCGGAUGCUGACGAGUGGCGAACGGGUGAGUAAUACAUCGGAACGUGCCCGAUCGUGGGGGAUAACGAAGCGAAAGCUUUGCUAAUACCGCAUACGAUCUACGGAUGAAAGCAGGGGACCGCAAGGCCUUGCGCGAACGGAGCGGCCGAUGGCAGAUUAGGUAGUUGGUGGGAUAAAAGCUUACCAAGCCGACGAUCUGUAGCUGGUCUGAGAGGACGACCAGCCACACUGGGACUGAGACACGGCCCAGACUCCUACGGGGGGCAGCAGUGGGGAAUUUUGGACAAUGGGCGAAAGCCUGAUCCAGCCAUGCCGCGUGCAGGAUGAAGGCC
rnacentral:rRNA from 1 species